GACGAACGCUGGCGGCGUGCUUAACACAUGCAAGUCGAACGGAAAGGCCCUGCUUUUGUGGGGUGCUCGAGUGGCGAACGGGUGAGUAACACGUGAGUAACCUGCCCUUGACUUUGGGAUAACUUCAGGAAACUGGGGCUAAUACCGGAUAGGAGCUCCUGCUGCAUGGUGGGGUUUGGAAAGUUUCGGCGGUUGGGGAUGGACUCGCGGCUUAUCAGCUUGUUGGUGGGGUAGUGGCUUACCAAGGCUUUGACGGGUAGCCGGCCUGAGAGGGUGACCGGCGACAUUGGGACUGAGAUACGGCACAGACUCGUACGGGAGGCAGCAGUGGGGAAUAUUGCAGAAUGGGAGGAAGACUGAUGCAGCAACGCAGCGUGCGGGAUGACGGCCUUCGGGUUGUAAACAGAUUUCGACUGUGACGAAGAGUGAGUGACGGUAAUGGGUAAAGAAGCACCGGCUAACUACGUG
rnacentral:rRNA from 1 species